rnacentral:tRNA from 1 species
GUUGGAGCAGGCUGGCAAGGUGCCGGCGGUCGUUGGAAACGGCUGCAAAUCCGAGCGUCGCAUUGCCGAUGAGGUUCAAGUCCUCGACCUCAGCG